GGUUGAUCCUGCCAGUAGAGCUAAUACAUGCGCAAAGUCCUGACUCGCGAGGGGAGGGAUGUAUUUAUUAGAUACAAAACCAAUGCGGGCUCUGCUCGCCAUUGUGUUGAAUCAUAGUAACUUAUCGGACGCCAUAGCCUUGUGCUGGGCGUAGAUCAUUCAAAUUUCUGCCCUAUCAGCUUUCGACGGUAGUGUAGUGGACUACCGUGGCGUUAACGGGUAACGGGGAAUUAGGGUUCGAUUCCGGAGAGGGAGCCUGAGAAACGGCUACCACAUCCAAGGAAGGCAGCAGG
rnacentral:rRNA from 1 species